rnacentral:rRNA from 1 species
UACGAAGGGGGGCGAGCGUUAUUCGGAAUCACUGGGCGUAAAGCGUGCGUAGGCUGUUUGGCAAGUUGGAAGUGAAAGCCCAGGGCUCAACCCUGGAAUUGCUUUCAAAACUGCCAGACUCGAGUCCGGGAGAGGAUAGCGGAAUUUCCAGUGUAGUAGUGAAAUACGUAGAUAUUGGAAGGAACACCAGUGGCGCAAGCGGCUAUCUGGACCGGUACUGACGCUGAGGUACGAAAGCGUGGGGAUCAAACAGG